rnacentral:rRNA from 1 species
GUGAAUGAUGAAGGUCUUAGGAUUGUAAAAUUCUUUCACCGGGGACGAUAAUGACGGUACCCGGAGAAGAAGCCCCGGCUAACUUCGUGCCAGCAGCCGCGGUAAUACGAAGGGGGCUAGCGUUGCUCGGAAUUACUGGGCGUAAAGGGAGCGUAGGCGGACUGUUUAGUCAGAGGUGAAAGCCCAGGGCUCAACCUUGGAAUUGCCUUUGAUACUGGCAGUCUUGAGUACGGAAGAGGUAUGUGGAACUCCGAGUGUAGAGGUGAAAUUCGUAGAUAUUCGGAAGAACACCAGUGGCGAAGGCGACAUACUGGUCCGUUACUGACGCUGAGGCUCGAAAGCGUGGGGAGCAAACAGGAUUAGAUACCCUGGUAGUCCACGCCGUAAACGAUGAGUGCUAGUUGUCGGCAUGCAUGCAUGUCGGUGACGCAGCUAACGCAUUAAGCACUCCGC